rnacentral:rRNA from 1 species
GAUGAACGCUGGCGGCGUGCCUAAUACAUGCAAGUCGAGCGAACAGAUAAGGAGCUUGCUCCUUUGACGUUAGCGGCGGACGGGUGAGUAACACGUGGGUAACCUACCUAUAAGACUGGGAUAACUUCGGGAAACCGGAGCUAAUACCGGAUAACAUUUGGAACCGCAUGGUUCUAAGUGAAAGAUGGUUUUGCUAUCACUUAUAGAUGGGCCCGCGCCGUAUUAGCUAGUUGGUAAGGUAACGGCUUACCAAGGCGACGAUACGUAGCCGACCUGAGAGGGUGAUCGGCCACACUGGAACUGAGACACGGUCCAGACUCCUACGGGAGGCAGCAGUAGGGAAUCUUCCGCAAUGGGCGAAAGCCUGACGGAGCAACGCCGCGUGAGUGAUGAAGGGUUUCGGCUCGUAAAACUCUGUUAUUAGGGAAGAACAAAUGUGUAAGUAACUGUGCACGUCUUGACGGUACCUAAUCAGAAAGCCACGGCUAACUACGUG